GGCUCUGUAGUGAAAUUCAUGGUGAGUUGCAAGCUCAUUGAUGUACACUAACUGUGUGCCGGAGUCU
rnacentral:tRNA from 1 species